rnacentral:rRNA from 1 species
AUCUACGGCCAUGCUACCCUGAACAAGCCCGAUCCCAUCUGAUCUUGGUAGCUAAGCAGGGUCGGGCCUGGUUAGUACUUGGAUGGGAGACCACCUAGGAAGACCAGGUGCUGUAGACA